AUGGACAAGUACAAGCUGUCUAAAGAAAGGAGAGAUGAAUUAGAGUUUAUAUUUAAUGAAUUCAAUAAAAAGAAAAAAGGAUUAGAUGGAAACACGUUGUUAUAUAUUUUAAAAUCAAUGGGUAUAUUCCUUAAUAAAAGCGAAUCAGCCGCUUUGUUAGAUGAAUGUAAACAAAACGGUAAUUUAAAUUUAAAUAAUUUUUACGCUAUUAUGCAAGAAUUUUAUUAUGAUGAAAAUAUAGGGAAAAUGAUAUUUUCAUCAUUAAAAAAACAUACUACACAGAAUGCUAAUGGCAUUGCUUUAUCAAAAUUAAAAAAUAUAUUGUUGACAUUAGGUUCUGGCGUAAUGUUAACAGAAGAAGAAGUAGACACUUUUUUUAAAAUGGAAUUCAGUGCAAAUGAAAAGAAAGAAAUAUUAUUUGAUGAUUUUAUACACAAGAUACUAAAGGAAUGAUUGACAAAAACGUUUUAUCGACAAAUAACAAAUUAUAUACGUGGAUUCCCUAUUUUUUUUUUUCUUUUAUAUAUUAUGACUGACUAUAUGAACAUGCUAGAAGCAAUUUAUUUCAUUUCGUCUUUAUUCAUCAUAUAGCUUAUGUUUAAAACUUAAAAUAUAACAUUCAUUUUUUUUUUCUUUUGUUUACACCACUUAUUAAAUUUAUAAAACUAAAAAAAACAUGUUAUUCAUGUUCAUUUCAAACAAAAUAAACAUUUUCUUCAAAUGCUAUUUAUAAUUUCA
rnacentral:lncRNA from 1 species